rnacentral:rRNA from 1 species
CUACAGGCUUAACACAUGCAAGUCGAGGGGAAACGAUAGAGAAAGCUUGCUUUUUCUAGGCGUCGACCGGCGCACGGGUGAGUAACGCGUAUCCAACCUGCCCAUCACUUGGGGAUAACCUUGCGAAAGUAAGACUAAUACCCAAUGACGUCUCUAGAAGACAUCUGAAGGAGAUUAAAGAUUUAUCGGUGAUGGAUGGGGAUGCGUCUGAUUAGCUUGUUGGCGGGGUAACGGCCCACCAAGGCGACGAUCAGUAGGGGUUCUGAGAGGAAGGUCCCCCACAUUGGAACUGAGACACGGUCCAAACUCCUACGGGAGGCAGCAGUGAGGAAUAUUGGUCAAUGGGCGAGAGCCUGAACAGCCAAGUAGCGUGCAGGAAGACGGCCCUAUGGGUUGUAAACUGCUUUUAUAAGGGAAUAAAGUGAGUCUCGUGAGACUUUUUGCAUGUACCUUAUGAAUAAGGACCGGCUAAUUCCGUGCCAGCAGCCGCGGUAAUACGGAAGGUCCGGGCGUUAUCCGGAUUUAUUGGGUUUAAAGGGAGCGUAGGCCGGAGAUUAAGCGUGUUGUGAAAUGUAGACGCUCAACGUCUGCACUGCAGCGCGAACUGGUUUCCUUGAGUACGCACAAAGUGGGCGGAAUUCGUGGUGUAGCGGUGAAAUGCUUAGAUAUCACGAAGAACUCCGAUUGCGAAGGCAGCUCACUGGAGCGCAACUGACGCUGAAGCUCGAAAGUGCGGGUAUCGAACAGGAUUAGAUACCCUGGUAGUCCGCACGGUAAACGAUGGAUGCCCGCUGUUGGUCUGAAUAGGUCAGCGGCCAAGCGAAAGCAUUAAGCAUCCCACCUGGGGAGUACGCCGGCAACGGUGC